AAGUUCAGAUGUGAAAGACCCGGGGCGUCAACCUCGGAAUAGCAUUUGAAACUAGGCAGACUAGAGUACUGUAGAGGGGGGUAGGAAUUUCAGGUGUAGCGGUGAAAUGCGUAGAGAUCUGAAGGAAUACCGGUGGCGAAGGCGGCCCCCUCGGACAGAUACUGACACUCAGAUGCGAAAGCGUGGGGAGCAAACAGGAUUAGAUACCUCUGGUAG
rnacentral:rRNA from 1 species